rnacentral:misc_RNA from 1 species
ACGUAUUCCACUGCCGGAGUCAGUAAUAAUUCAUAUAAAAACAAUGCCGAAAUAUUAAAACAUCGGAUGUAAUUGGGUGUGGUUACCAUGGAAACGCUUCUGUGUGUGAUGACAGCUGUAAUUGUGGUAAUCCAAAGGAUAGCAGGAGAUAACCCGUUUACCUCCCCUGGUCUGAUACUGAUGGAUUUUCAGACACCAACAGACACUACAGUUUUAAACACAUUCGAUAUCCACAUGGAGAGGAAGUCGUAUUUGGCGUCGUAUCUAGACCGGCAGUUCUCUUUAUUAUCGGUGUAUCCCCUCGGCCAAGCCUGUGUUGUAUUUGAUAAACGUGCUAAAACCAUUUGUAAGUUACAAUACAGUGGCGGUCAUUGGUAUCAACCUGUGUGUGCGGAGACCUUCGGUACUGUCAACGGACUGGACGUUGAUGACGUCAGAGGCCUUGUUUUCUGGACUGAUCCCGAUUUUAACGCCAUUAUGAUGGCACGGAUCACAAACUUGACCCAUCAUCACGUGAUCGUCGAUACGUUAGUGGAUAACCCUGGCGACAUAGCUGUGCAUCCUGAAGCUGGAUUAUUAUUUUGGACCGAUUUUGGCAGACUGCCAAAAGUGGAGCGAUCAACUCUGUCAGGGAGUGAACGACGAACGAUAGUAAUCGGAGGAACACCAUAUCUGUUGACACUAGACAGGGCAGGGAACAGGUUAUUCUGGAUUAACAAGGCCGAUAACACUGUGGGGUCAUGUGAUACAUCAGGAGAACGUCGUCAUCCAUUUCCCAUCAACAUUGAUGGAUCAACGUCGUCGUUGGCCUGGACCAGUCUCGUCGUCUAUCAGAGCCGUUUACUGCUGGCAUGGAGCGACAUUAACCAGGCUGGCGCGGUUUCUGUCGGACUUGGCGGAGAAAGUCGCAACAAUCGGUAUUUGUCAACAACAUACCAAGACCUUGCCAUUGUACGUGAGCAACCACAACUCCAAGGCAUGGAGGCAGAAUGUGUGGACUGUUUUUGUCGGCUUUACUCUGUGUACGAGAAUGGGACACUCACCAGGCAGUGUGCAUCUGAACAUAGUUCCCAUGGUUAUCUGUUCUUCACGACGCCGAGAGGAUUAUAUCGUAUGGACGUGUAUCCCUUUACAACGUCAUAUGCUCCUCACGUGACCCUAGUUUACGGCGCCAAUAUCUCCGUGUUUACAACUGACCCUGUAAACGAGAAGAUAUUCGCAUACAGCCAUGAUAGCAAGGCCAUAAUAGAGAUUACCCAGCAUGCUGUGACAGGAUACUGGAUGUCACGUGACCUUAUAAUAGUGGCAGCACCAGUUAAAAGCAUUGCAGUAGAUUGGAUGUCCCGGAAUAUCCUAUGGGUUGAACAAGGAUCCGAAUAUAUUUCUGUUGCUAAUUAUGAAGGACUGUACCGGAAGUGGUUGAUAUCACAAGCUUGGGCUGAAGAUCUGAGAGUUGAUCCACACAACAGGAUGGUAUUCUGGCUCAACUCCUCCCUGGGUUUGGUAGAGGGAGCUGAUCUGGACGGGCGAGGACAUGUAAACAUAGGAUAUACCGAUAAACAGUUUGCAGCUCUUACUAUCGACUGCGCAGGUCACCGACUCAUCAUGUUCGACUUCCGGUCCAGAGAACUCGUGGCUAUAGACUAUCUAUCUAGAGCACCUCCGGAAGUCAUCAGACAGGGGUUUUGGCGAGUAACGUUCAUGGCUAUGAUAAAGGAUUAUGUGGUCGUAAGCAACGACUCAAGGUGCCUGACGUUAGUGAACACUAAAACAGGGCUCCCUCUAGCGGCAAGAUACAUAGCCGAUGACAUCAUCACCCAUAUGGAGCUAUACCAUGUCGACAGUGUCAUGAACACAAGUCCCUGCGUGGAAAACAAUGGCGGAUGUGACCAGCUAUGUCUGCCCAAUCCGUCCACAAGGAAUUGUAACUGUGGCUUUGGUUACCAUGAGGUCUCCACCGAUAACGGGUGUUCUACAUAUCUGAUGGACAACUCGUUCCUACUUGUGGUUGACCAGCGUGCUCCGGCCAUUUAUCAGUAUAAUCAGGAUCGCCAGGGACAUCCGGUCGAUCGUUAUACUAUAGUUCCGGCCGUCGGUCUGGCCCAGCCAUACGCUGUGACCUACGACGCCAGAGCUCAAUACAUUUAUUGGUCUGAUAUUGAGCAGUUCAGCGUCAGUCGGAUACACAGUAGUGGACAAUACCAGGAAAUAGUGUACGGACAGGAAUAUAUGUAUGCUCUAGACAUUACUUUGAGUGUAUCCAUGCGCUUGUUGUUUAUUGCUGAUUAUUCCCGGAACCGGAUCAUAGCUCUUAAUGUGAACACUCUACAAACAACAACCUUCUCCGACCCGGUUAAUCGUGUUUACGGUCUCAGUCUGGAUGCCAGCAACAGAUAUUUGUACGCAUCCGGGUAUGGAGAAUCUCCUAACUUGGUGCGCAUUGAUAUAUGGACAGGGACCCAGUCGACAGAAAACCUGCCGUGGUUGGUGUUACCAGGGAAACUCGUUGUCCAUGCCACAGGUAUAUACCUGGUUGAGCAGCAUCUACGAACCAUCGUCCGGAUUGAUAGUAGCGGUAACGUUCACGACUUUAAACAUUUCCCAGAAGGUCACAUAGUGCAGUUCAUCACAGCAGACGAUAACAACAUUUAUUGGACAGAACAGAAUACACAACAGUUAUACAGAUUAAAUCUGCAAACGAGGGAAGAAUCAACAGUAGGAUUAGAGGGAACGUUGAUACACCCUACCGGACUCCUGUCGUUUGAAGUGGCUCGUACAUACACAGACAUUAGCUGUUUAAGCCCGUGUUUCGGUACCUGUGUACCAGCCGGAGAAAACCGUACAGUCUGUAUUCCUACACUGGCACCCCGCAACAUAGAUCUCCCAGAUAAUGAUAUCUGCAUUGUACCAAGCCACGACGACAUCGUUUAUGGUCAUGUGAAGGAGCUCCGGCCUGGGUCCCGUGUCCCGGGGGGUUCACAGUUCCGGGUACAGUGUCUGCCCGCCCAUAGUGUUGUAGGUUCCGACACCGGUAUCUGUCGCCGUAGAAACUGGAUGGUUAUACCCAGGUGUGAGCCAGACACCAAAGUUUACGGAACACGGAAUGGCGGAUGGACGAUCUUCACCCGAUCCGCUAGCUUUUACGUCUACUCCUGGAUGACAACUGUCAAGGUCAUAGUAGUUGGUGGUGGAGGGGGCGGAUACCAAUUCUCUAGUCAGGGAGACAGUGCAGGCGACGGUCAAAGGUCAAGGUUCGGGACAGUUACUUCCCUGAUUUCAACGGCUGGUGGGGGUAAAGGAGGCACCAUGGCGUCAGGUGGAGCUGGUGGUGUAGGGGAACGGAAUUCCGGUUCCGCCGGAAGUUUCUCUCGUAACACGUGCUCCCGGGGAGGGUCCGUAUGGAACUAUGUACCGACUAAAGCACACAGCUUGUUCUGUGAAAAUGACUACGGACCAGGCAGCUGUUUCUCGAACCACGCCUCCAGUAACGUUAAUUCCAGGAUAAGGCGAGACUGUCGUAUUGAUACCACAUGCAAAAACUUCGGUGAUGGGGCGGAGUCAAUAGAGGGCGGGUCUGGUGGAGGAGGCGGAUUCUCAAGACCAAGCCGUUUAAUCACAGCUUACCGUAACACCCUAAUCCCUAUUGAGGUUGGGCGUGGCGGGGACCCUUCUUACCCAACAGCAGGAGGGGGCGUGGUCAUCAUCUGGUGGGGCUGGGACGAGGAAUUGAACGACGUAGAAACUGCCAACAUAGAAAGGCUCUGUUCUGAAGAACCAGACAUUGAACCGUGACUGCCUAUUUUCUAACAGAUUCCCAACAAUAAAUCAUUAUAAUCAAUAUAUUUUGUAAUUCGUGCUGAAAAAAAUCAAACUUUACCCGUUGUAGGCUGUAACGAAGUUUAAUGGAUUUAUUUUCAUUAUUGUAUAAUGUAUAUGCCUGCAUUUAUACGUUUACUGUGGCAGUACAGAUUAAAACAGACAUACUAAAAGUAUUGACCAUUGUUGAACUAAAUGUCUAAUCGAAAACAUUGUUGAUACAUGUGGAACUUAUGUAGGGGAAACCGGAGUGCCUGAAGACAAACCACGUGUUCGGUUAAAUCUGACCGAAGAUUUUGUUCGUGAAAUCGGGGUCUGGACUAACAGCUUACCUGAAAAAGUCCCAUGCCUGCAAAUAUGCC